rnacentral:snoRNA from 1 species
UCUUCCUUUUAAGGUUGGUGCUGUACUUUAAGAGGCUAACACAGCAGGAUAAAGGAACUCCGUAAGAUCCAGGGAGAGACUGGAAGCCUCCCCUUUGGAUCCUGUCUAGUUACAGCU